CACAAUGGAGCUCGUGGCAUGUAAGGAAGCCAGGCAGGUGAAACAGCCCAGCAUCCAUGCAUCGUGAGAUCUCAGUAAACUAUCUGCUGUGACCCGCAUUCUGAUUUUCAGGCAAGAUCCGGAGCUGACGUCCUUUUUCCUAAAAGACCGAGGCGGAGCCUGGGAGAGCAGUAGCCACGGGCAGCACGGCCCACACUGAUGGCACACAGAUGAGGCCGAUUCCAGAGUGCUGCCCUGGGGCCCCGCUGGAGAUCCUGUGCAACACAGCAGAAGCACCAUAUCGCGUUUUUAAAAAUCUGAGCAUUCUGAAUUCCUAACCUUAUUCGGUUCUAAGGAUUUGGGGGUGUGCCCCUUCGUUCACAGAAAGGAAGACUGAAUCACAGAAUGGAAAACAACGAUGACACAGCUGGUCUGGAGCAGAGCAGGAAACAAAAGAAUGGGAUUUCCCUGCUUUGCCUUUAGACUGCAUUGUCCAAAAGGUAGACUUUGAUCCUAAACUUGGGUCCUUUUGCAUUACAACAGUAACUCAAAAGGCAGGAGCUGAAGGUUUCCUGGGAUGAUCUGCACAUUUUUUGCUUAAGAGAAAACAAGUGAAAGUGACACGGUUCUAAUGCACAAUGUGCAAGUCAGAAAUUUAGGGAGGGAGGAAGGGAGGGCCAGUGAUAGGUUUCAAGCAUGUACAAAAAUAACGGAAAAUCAACGAAGAUAACAUUUAUAGUGAAGAAUAAUCAUGGCCUACCGAUGGCCGUGUGUCCGGCGCUGUUUCUGGGGCUUUGCAAGGACUAUCUCAUUAAACGCUCACAUCAACCAGAUAAGGUAGAUGCUGUUAUUGUCCCCCCUUAAAGUUGAGAAAAAUGAAGUACUAGGAGCCUGGUAAUGAAGAGAAACCUCAGUCCUGUCCUCAUCUUUGCCUUGGAGGUAUUUAGGAACAUAUGUUUUGGCAUCUAUGACUCCAUUUUAGUUGGCCAGGCCCAAACCAGUCCAUUUGGUACCUUUGUGCUCAUUAGAAAAAGGUGCUCCUGGGGCACCUGGGUGGCUCAGUG